UUGAAAUAAACCUGAUGAGUUGUUGCUGGUUCUCUUGGGAGCAUGUGCACACUUGUCAUCUUUAUAUCUCCACCUGUGCACCUUUUGUAGACUUGGAUAUCUCUCUGAGUGGCUUAGCCACUCAGGUUUUGAGGAUUGACUUUGAUGGUCUCUCCUUACAUUUCCAGGUCUAUGUUUAUUUCAUAUACCCCAAUGUAUGUCAUAGAAUGUAAUCCUAUUGGGCCUUUGUGCCUAUAUAAACUUAUA
rnacentral:misc_RNA from 1 species